rnacentral:tRNA from 3 species
GCCGGAGUGGCGGAAUAGGCAGACGCACGGGACUUAAAAUCCCGCGAAGGUAAUACUUCGUACCGGUUCGACCCCGGUCUCCGGCA